CGCGGCAGCGGGCGCCGGGCGGCGGGCACGUUGCGUGUGCACCCCGACGGCAGCGCCGCUCCUCCCCACCGCGGGGAGGGAGGGAGCGGCCCCGGCGCGGCGGGACAGCGGCGGAGGGGCUGCGGCGGAGAGGCGGGACGGGGCGCGCUGCCUGACGCCACCUCCGGAGAGUCGUGAGGGGCCGAGCGGGGUGGGAGGGUGCCGCCUGCCGGCGGGAGGGGGCAGCAGCGGGGCCGCGUGUCCUGCCGCCUUCCCCGGGUGCCGGGAGGCGGCCGCCGCGGAGGGGAGGCCCGGGACCGUGCUGUGAGAACCCGCCCUGUCUGCGGAGCAGCGGGGCGGGAGCCACCUCCCGAAAGCAGGGGUCUGUUAGCAACGGGGCAGGGGGACAUCAGCGAGCCCCUGGUACCUGCUUCCCUCUCGCAACACGAGGAAGCAGACGGCAGCCCUUCCAGCAGGCUCCUGCCACGCUGCGUGAGGGGAUCCGUAAGGAACACACUUCACAGCGCGGGGCCGGGAUGUGAUUCCUUCCAGCACCCCUCCCGAGUACAGGCAGCGCAGGGGUCAAUGCAGGGCGCAGCUGCAUGACUGCAGCAUGCCCCAGGGACUCCUGCCCAUCACUUGGCCAAGAUGGUGAGAAAGUUCCCUGGAGGCUGAGGGAGCAUCAGGACCCAGUAAGACUGUAAUGUAGGAUGAAGAAAGAACUGCUGUCCUACAGAAUAACUGUCUCAUGAUUGACAUUUGUGCUUGCCUGGUUUUGUUGUCUAUGAGAAAAGCACAUAUGACUAGAAGGAAGAAUGGGUUUAACAAAGCAGAGUGGGGGAGGCAGCACGACAGAUGUAGCUGCCAGAAUGACUCUUGUACAUCUGCUCUUCUUAGCAGAUUACAGGCCUUUCUCUCCUGCACAGUGAAUUUGGGACUCAGCUGGAAUUGUAGCCCUUUGAGAGAUUUGCUGUCUCUAGCUAUGUUUGCCUGGGGAUCCUUGACUUCAGGCGGUACAGGAUACUUACAGUGGAGACUUCCCAGCUGCCCUUGCAGCUUCACCUAUGCUGUGCUAGAGCGUGCUCAGUAACAUCGGCACGUUUUAUCCAACGAGUAAUAAGAGCAGCUGGGCAAAAUUGUUCUGACCAUCUCCCCUGGAAAAUACCAUUUCUUCAAAACUACAAAAGCCAAGUGUGACAAAGUAUCCAAGCAGAUUCUUAAGAAUAAACAAUAUUUUUAUUCUCUUGUAAGUUAAAUUGAUAGUGAAGAAUCAUGAUCAGAAUAGAUGUUUUGCUUUACUAAACAGGAGAAGCAGGGGGCCCUGGCACCCUUCUGGUGAGACUGACCAUACUCAGAGCAGCUCUGCUAGUUUACCUUUGUAGUGGUGCUACCUCUCCUCUCUUGCCCCAAGAGCCCACAUGUCAAACUAAUUUUCUCCAGGGAAGGAGAUGUGAUACCUAAGCUGAUAACAUGGGCAUCGCUUAGCGAAAGCUACCGAACUAGAGAGAGGUUUUGUAAAGAUAAAGCACAGAGGCACUUGAAUUUGUUUUUUUUGUUAUUGCUGCUGUUACUCCCUGCUGUCUUAGGCUUCAGCUAAGAUGCUGCACUCAAAAUCUGUGGCACAGAUUCAGCUGAAUCAGCUUCGUUAUCUGCAGGGACAUGAGCUCAUCCCAAAGCACCGGUGUGGAGCAGCACAGGUGCCGAUGGCAACCAGGGAAGUAAAGAGACUGCUCAGACCUCACUGGUUCCUCUACUGGGAGAAUGCAACUGAUUUAUUCCUUGAGCUGCGUACCGCUCAGAGCCUGCUGCAAGUCCUUGGCUUCUGGAUCUUUAUUCUUUUGUAGGUGAAGCAAUUGAAAGCUUGAUGUUGAGCCCAUGUGACAGAUUUCUUCAGAAGCUAUGUAACCAUCUGUGUUUAAGCAAGUGGCAAGACGUAUCGCUGCAGGAAUAUUGAUGGAAAACAUUCUCACUUGACAGAGCUGGGAGUUCGCCAUUAAACAGGCAGAAAGGUACACAAGAAGAUUUCAACUGGAGGAGCUUGUGGCAGGCUCAGACUGAAGGCACCGUGGGACAGACAGAAUGGCCAUACUUGGACAAAUACCAUAGCAGUAACAUGCCAUAAGCAAUUCUGCAAAUACCCCAUUUCCUGCAGCCAGCUCAGCAGAGGCUUGCAUCAGCACUACAUCCCCUAGAGCAACCAUUCAAGCAAGCUCCUCACAGCAGAAUUGGAGGAAUGGCAACAUGUAUGGCUGCAUGUGUCUCACCUCAGUCAGCAGCCCUUGCGGUAAUAUCACACAAGGUGGCUCUAUGGUCCUUAACAGGAAUGGAUUUAUUAAGAGGAUGAAAAUUUACCCUUUUAACACUGGCUGAUGCAGUCUUGCGGUAUUGAAAGAGAAGAGAAUAACACACAGCCAGUUUGGGAUUGCUUUUGUCCUCACUAAAACAAGACAACUCCAGAAAACAUGUUUGCAUGUAGCAGGAACCUACUUUCAGCAGGUGCCUGAGCCUUUGGAGCAAUGCAGGGACACCACAUCGUACAGCUGACAGUCAACAAAAUGGACAGAUGAAGCAAGAGGACAGUGAUAGCCCUAAGCAUGUUUCUGGGGCAUGGACCCUCUUCAUAGAGUUGUAGCUCUGCAUCUCACUUGCUGACCUCUCUCCCACCUGAUCCUUUCAGCACCUGCUCUCAUGUUUAAAUGGUUAAAAAUAAUAAUCAGUUUGGGUUUUUUUUUUUUUAACCUUGCCAGGCUCUUUCGUAAGUCUUCCUUCAGCAGUCUGAGCAGAUCCCUGUCUUGUGACUUUGCUGGGAAAAGAUCAUUCUUCUACAUUUUAGAGAAACUGUGUGUCUGUGGAAGAGCACUUCUGGCUCUGUGAGCAUUGGUGUUCAAGUCCAACACAGAGUAAAAGGAUGGAUUAGCCAAAGGACUGCCUUUCAAAGAGAAACCUGUGGUUUGAAAUAGAUAAGUAUUGAGAACCCCCUCCAGGAGCAGUUAAUACCCAAGCUGGGCAUAAACACAUUUUCUAAUCCAAUGCGCUGUAUUCUACUUCUAAGCAUGUUGUAAAAAUUAUAGAAAAGAAAAAAAAUGCUUUAAACAGCCAUUAUAGACUGUUAAGCACACUUUAGCAAGACAGUAUUAUGCCUAAAAGACAACCAGAGUCCUAUGAAAGAAUCAAGGGAAAAAUAAACAGCACCAGAAAGAAAACUCACUGCUGUGGAAAUUAGUCAUUAGCAAUAUGGCAUUACUGCAGCAGUUCAGCCAAAGAGUCCAAUUUGACUGUCAGUCUGCUGGUUGUGACCAUUUUCAGGAUGCGGCUGGUGGUAAUAACUCACAAUUUCUUUCCUGAACACUGUAGGUUGAAUCCUGACCACUCUUAAUAUUUGUUACCAGUAAAAAAAAAAAUCAUACUUUAAUAGUAAAAAUAAACUGCUACUCACAAGGUUUCUUUAAGAUGGACCUAUACAUUAUUUAGUUACAUUUUCAAUAGUAUCCUGAAUUAUGGCUAUAUGCUGUUUUUAACUAAAAGCAUAUUAACUGCUUAUGAUCAGAACAUUUGUUCAAGCUUGGUAAAAAACAAGUGGGCUUGAUUAAUAAGUAUUUGCUGAAAUACUCAAUUUAAUCAGAAACUUCAGGUCAAUUGUUCCAAUACAUCAAAAAUCAGGAGAAAUGGAGAUUCACUGAUUAGCUUAUUAGCAGCAUUCAAACCUUAUCUGCUUCUGCACUACAAACUUUGCUUUGCUAGGUUGAAGAAUUUCUUGACUCAUAAUCCAGAUGUUAUUUUCUCGAGGAACUUUCAGGAAAGGAGGGCUUGCAGCUAGUGGAAAGGUCUCAUCUGUGUUUCUAAACAGAGCACAAAUAUAUUGUGUGAGCUGGGGGAACUCAUUAAGCUGUUGGUUACUUCACUUUUCUCAAAGAAACUGAAUACUUCUUUUAUUUACUGUGGGGAUUAUUUCAUCAAUACCUGUAAACAAAAGAAAUCUUCAAUGGAAGAUAAGAUCCAAGUACUAUUUCUUUCCUCUUCAGAAAGUUUCUGGAGCAUGAAUAAAGUUAAACUUAAAACUG